rnacentral:rRNA from 1 species
CCCUUAGAUGUUCUGGGCCGCACACGCGCUACACUGAAGGAGGCAGCGUGUACUCCUGGAUCGAAAGAUUUGGGUAACCCGCGAAUCUCCUUCGUGCUAGGGAUUGAGGUUUGCAAUUAUCCUUCAUGAACGAGGAAUUCCCAGUAAGUGCAAGUCAUAAGCUUGCGCUGACUACGUCCCUGCCCUUUGUACACACCGCCCGUCGCUACUACCGAUUGAAUGAUUUAGUGAGGACUUCGGACUGGGACCGAUGCGGCUUUCGGGCUGCGUCGGUAUUCUGGAAAGAUGUCCAAACUGUAUCAUUUAGAGGAAGUAAAAGUCGUCACA